GGGGUUGUAGUUAAUAAUAACGUUUGAAUUGCACUCAAAAAGUACUAAAUUUAUAGUCAACCUUA
rnacentral:tRNA from 1 species